rnacentral:lncRNA from 1 species
CUAAGGGCGUGGGUGUCGGAGUCUUGCAGGCUGGGGUCCCAGGUGAGAGAUGCCAGCAGGGAGCUCUAGAUGGGGAACUGGGUGAGCCUGGCUCGGUAAGGGCGUGCUCAGAACACCCCAUCCCCGAACACGGUCUUGUGUGAUAAAAUGUCACGCAAGAAGAAUCUGAAACCGCGAGAAGAGGAGGACACGGCCAGACUGCACCGAACCCCGGCACCUCUGUGGGGAAAAGCAGGUCAGGCUGAGCGGGGCCGGCGGGGACACGCGCUCCUGGGCUUCUCCAGAGUCUGCCGGGGCCGGGCCCGGGACCGAGGCUGGGACGCGCUGUGCAGUCCCACCCCUCACACCCCUCGCACGCCUGGAAACACCCUCGGGGUAACACAAGCCGGGGUUGAGUUUCUUGAAGAGAAGCUGGCUGCAUCCUGGAGCCAGGGAAAGAGGAGCACAGGGGCCAAGCGGUCCAGGGCCACGGAGGAGCAGGACCCCUGGGGAAAGGCCCGGGUCUAGGCCGGGGCCAGGGGACCGUGGUGGAGACCUCAAAAAUGGCAGAACACGGAAGCAGGGCGAGAAAAGUAAACGUAGUCCUUGCGGCAGUUUGAAAUACACGCGGGUAAACGCUGGGUGACUCCGCCCGGAUGCAGAGUGGGGGUCUGUGUCUCUCCCCACAGGCUGCAGGGACCGGGCUCUGGGUAACCAGCAGAAGGUAACAGAACGAGGCUGCUUUUCCUCCAGGCUGUUCUGGUGUCCGCGCGUGGCUUGUGCGCUGACUCCUGACUUGGAGCGCCGCGUGGCCAGAGAAAUCUGGGUGCCUCCAGGCCACCAUGGUGAGAGGAGAGGCCACCGCACGAACGGAAGAAGCGAUGGAGACGGUCUUUACGACCUAAGAACAGAAAGAGUUUCUUAUACACAAUCCGAAAAGUAAAAAUUGAUUGAUUGAUUGAUUGAGAUGGAAUCCCACUCUGUCGUCCAGGUUAGAGUGCAAUGGCUUGAUCUCGGCUCAUUGCAACCUCCGCCUCCCGGGUUCAAGCGAUUCUCCUGCCUCAGUCUCCCGAGUAGCUGGGAUUAUAGGCGCCCGCCACCACGACUGGCUAAUUUUUAUAUUUUUAGUAGAGACGCAGUUUCACCGUGUUGACCAGGCUGGUCUUGAACCCCUGACCUCAGGUGAUCCGCCUGCCUCGGUCUCCCAAAGUGCUGGGAUUACAGGCGUGAGCCACCGUGCUGGGCCAAAAAUCAAUUUUAAAACGACCACAUGAAAAAUAAAUCUCCUGUAUCACAGAGCAUGUUCUGAGGAAAAUGAAAGCCACAGAUCCAGAAGAUAUUUGUGACACAUAUGAAAAACAAAAACUCAUAUUCAAAACAUACACAGCAUUGCUAUGAAUCAUUAAGAAAAAUGAUUUCGUCUCCUCUACAGGAGCCUGAGUGAAGGACAAGGACAGAUCAUUAUAAACCAGGGAGCUUGAAGAGCUAGUUAACAAGCACAGAAAAUAUGUUCCCCCACACUGUUAAUCAAGAAAAUUAAAACUGUAAUGAGAUGCCGCAUUGUAUCCAUGGGAUUUCUAAAAGUACAAAGUUCCACAAUACCCGUUGUUGACGGAGCAGGGAAACCGCAGGAGCCUGCAGGAGAUGAGAUUGUAAAUGUGCAAGGACAUUUUGGAGAAGAGUUGACAACAUCUCACUCACGUGUAUCAAGCCAAGUGCCGAAAGAAGAAUUGGUUGUCAUAAAGAAAACAGAAACCCAGAAUGGAUGUAGCUUAUCCCUCCGAUGGAAAGUUACAAAGAAGUUAAAAUGAAUGGGCUGCAUCUCUGUGUAACAAUUUGGAUCAAUAUCAAAGACACAUUUGUUAAAGCAAGGUGUACAAUGAAACCUGCAACAUGAUUUGUCUGUUUAGUAAAACACAGAAAAUCUAACUCCGCCUGGCUUACGAACACACACAUGUGUUAGAAUUUGGGAAAAGGAAAGGGAGGGAGGCCGGCUACACGUGAACUUUUGGAAAAUCUCAGAGGGUCUGGGGCACCAGGUGGAGACCAUGGCAGCCUUCAGGGAUAUGAGGUCAAAUGAGAUGCUGCCUUUCCACCAGAUAAAGAUUUACCUGGUGCCUCUGUUACUGCCCAGCAGCGCCUGAGGACGUGGGGGCUGCUGCCCAACACGGAGGCUGGGCUGGCCUGGUCCGUGGGCUCAGGUUCUCAUCCUCUGCACGUGCAUCUGCCUCCUGUGCGUCUCUGUGCACACGCUUGUAUCUGGAUGCAGAGUCCUGUGCCCAGUGUACAUGCACAGAUGUGCGCAUCUGGGUAGAUGUGCUGGUUCGCUGUGUGAGCAUGCACAGACCCUUGUUCACCGUGUGUGCGCAUCCGUGCAGUGUGGACAUCUGGACAGGACCCCGUGCUCCCUGUCUCUGCCGCUGAGAUGUUUCCUAGCUGUGCACAGAAUUCACUCUCCUACUGGAGGGCUCUGACUGAAAGCUCUGAUGCGGCAGGCCUUCUCUUGACACUUGGUUAAGGUAUGCCUCUCACAUCUGUAUGCCCACAUCUGCUCUCCUCCCUCCCUCCUUCUCAGCACUUAGCCCUCUGAUAUGGUUUGCUGGCGUCCCCACCCAAAUCUCAUCUUGAAUUGUAGUUCCCAUAAAUCCCCACGUAUUGUUCGAGGUACCCCGUGGGAGAUAAUUGAAUCAUGGGGGUGGUUACCCAGAUGCUGCGGUUCUCGUGUUAGUGAGUUCUCGUGAGAUCUGAUGGUUUUAUAAGGGGCUUUUCCCCCUUUUUCUCGGCACUUCUCCUCGCUGCCGCCACAUGAAGAAGGAUGUGUUUGCUUCCCCUUCUGCCAUGAUUGGAAGUUUCCUGAGACCCCUCCAGCCAUGCUGAACUGAUUUCCUGAAGACACCAUCCCAGUCAAGUGGUCUGCCUCAUACUGAGCCACCAGACCACCCAGCAUGUCCUCACCCGCGUGGACAGAUGACAGGGGGCUCUGAGCAUGCCCCAGUGCACCUUACGCACCUGUGAAGGUUGGGAGCCUGAGUGCAGCUCCUGUGGCACUGCCCGUGGCCAGGGAGAUGCCUCCUCAGUGCUCCUGACCCUCGGUGGAGGACCGGCCAGCGUGUGUGCCGACAGUGUGUCCACACAGGUGUGCUGCGCCCAAUGGGCAAGUCGGAAACAAAGGAAAAUGCUCUCUGAAGGAAAAGGCAAAGCAAUUUGGAUUUCUGCGAGAAAAUGAGACUGCAUGUGGCACUGUAAAUACCCUUGCUGCUGAACUUCUCGCUCCCCCCAGAUACACCCUUCAUAUUGACAUGUCUAGAACCUUAAACUGAACCAAGUUGAAAAGUGAGAUUAAUUAGGGCUGAGUUAACAGUUAACACAUACAAUGAAAUAUUGAAUAAGGCUUACUGAGCAAACAAGAAUAUACAGAAGUGGAGGAGACAAAGAGGAUAUUAAAAAUGCAGACAGUGAUGAGGCAGAUAGCUGGGACAAAUAAUGAAAAAUAGUAAAGGAGAUAAGGCAGAUAUUGGAGGAGCAAAGAGUCUCUGAAAUAGAUAUCGGUAUUGAAAGAUGCUAAACACGCUUCUAAAGAGACUUUCUAGCCGACACAGGGAGCUCACUGAUGGAUGAAGUAGAAACAUUUUUAAAUGGAAUCAAACAGGGCAAAGCGGGAGAAGAAAAAGAAGUAGGUAAACCAGUAAAUUAACUUUUCUCGUGUGUGCUGUGUACUAUUUGUGAGUGAGCAAUGAACGCUGUGGCUCCCUGGAGGGGCUGUGGUGGGAAGUUUCACUGCGAUCAAGUAGAGGUGGUGCCUUUGGACCUCUUCUCCUGAACCUGCAGGGAGAGGCGCAGAAUAUUCACAAGGUGAAGAUGCAACAAUUCAAAUGAGUGUCCAGGUUUUCAGGGUGGUUGCUAAACCCCAAAAGACCGAUAGCUUCGGGCAAAAGACUGCAGAAAGAACAGCUUUACAUUUUUACGGAAGCAAUGGGAAAUAUACCCUGUAAGCCUUGAAAAAUUCCCGAAGGGAUUCCUGUUCAUUCCUGUGGAUCCUAAUGGGCCAGCAUAGACCUGUUAGUCAAAAGAGGAUUUAUCUACAUUGCACACUCAUUCAGGCAGGCAGGGAAGUCAACGCCACUUUCAGAUGUUUGUAGAGCAUGAACUCUGUCCGUUCCCACGCCCUCCAAAGGCUGUUACACAGGGAUGCCCGCUUCUGGACAGAAGUGAUUCAUGCAGGAUGAGAACCAUGACCACAGAAGAUUUUGUGCAUGUGGUUAUUUCAAUAUUUAAUUUAAGUGUAUGCAUGAGUGUUCAGGAUAAAAAUGCUUGGAGUGUACUUUAAUUCCAUUAAAAAUGUAUACAUUA